CACAAUGGUGGGCUGGAUAGGGGAGCCGAAAGGCUCACCGGGCGGUUACUCCGGUACUGUGAACCCUAUUCAGUUCACCACCAGU
rnacentral:antisense_RNA from 1 species